rnacentral:rRNA from 1 species
GGGUCAGUAGGUUGGACGUGCCACCGGUACGUACUGGUCUCACUGAUUCCUCCUUCCUGAAGAACCGUAAUGCCAUUAAUUUGGUGUUGCGGGGAAACAGGACUGUUACUUUGAAAAAAUUAGAGUGUUUAAAGCAAGAUAACGCUUGAAUACAUUAGCAUGGAAUAAUGAAAUAGGACGAUCGAUCCUAUUUUGUUGGUUUCUAGGAUUGACGUA